ACCCCUAGUGCAGAAUGGAAAAAAUGCACCUGUCUAGAAAUCAUCUUUUCACCUUAUUAUUAUUAUUAUUUUUUAAAUGAGAGUGAAUAAGAGAGAAAGAGAGAGGCCAGGGUACCACUUAGGUCUGACACGUGGCAGUGCCGGAGAUUGAACCUGGAGAAUCGGAGACACAGGCAUGGAAGCCUUAUGCUCUGAGGUGGGGACAGGGGACUCGAACCUGCAUCCUUGUGCCCUGUUACAUGUGCUCUCAACCAGCCUGGGAGUAUGGAUCGACCUGCCAAUGCCCAGGCCCAGCAGAGAAGCCAUUACAGAAGCCAGACCUCCCAUCUUCUGCACCCCAUAAUGACCCUGGGUCCAUAAGCCCAGUGUGAUAAAGAAUAGGAAAGCUUUCAAAGGAGGGAGUGGGAUGAAGAACUCUGGUGGUGGGA